GAAAUGCGAUAAGUAAUGUGAAUUGCAGAAUUCAGUGAAUCAUCGAAUCUUUGAACGCACAUUGCGCCCGCCAGUAUUCUGGUGGGCAUGCCUAUCCGAGCGUCAUUUCAACCAUCAAGCCCCCGGGCUUGUGUUGGGGACCUGCGGCUGCCCGCAGGCCCUGAAAACCAGUGGCGGGCUCGCUGUCACACCGAGCGUAGUAGCAAUCACCUCGCUCAGGGCGUGCUGCGGGUUCCGGCCGUUAAACAGCCUUACAAAACCCAAGGUUGACCUCGGAUCAGGUAGGAAGACCCGCUGAACUUAAGC
rnacentral:misc_RNA from 1 species